UUUGUCAAGCUGCUUCAUUCACAAGAAAGCCACAGCAAAGCCUCUGCCCCUGUCUGUUUAGCUCCCAGCUCUUGGCUCGGGUUGCCUUAGCCCUUGGGAGUAGGCUGCUCAUUGAGUUUAAAUCUUCUUCUCCCCUUCAGUUCACUAGUGACCGAUUUCCCUUUGUUCGUGAGAUAACCUCUCAACGUUUACGCAGAUCUUCCUCUACAGCCCUUUGUGUCCAUCUCUUGGUCACACUGGGACUCGGGUGGAAGAGUGCCACAUUCUUAUCACUCUGGGUUGCUGGAAGACAGUAAAUAAAUUGCUAAAGUCUCCCCCGUUUCAGACACAUCAUUAGACUAUAUUUAGUUGUACUUAAAUAUUCAAGGUUCGUAUUGUAUUCGUAUUCCUUUCCAGAUUUUAAAACACGUUUUCUCAUCCAAUAUUGUGAACAGAUACCAAGUUAUAAGAAAAAUAAUUGCCAAAUCAGAAGAAUUGGAUGCCUGGCUUUGUGAGUGUCUGGGUGUCACCUGACUUCAUUAGAGCGCCCCUGUGGGACUGUGGGAGAUGAUGCUCCUGUUUCUAUCUAGAGUCUCCUUGAGCCAACAUAGAGAAAGAGGCCGUUAUGAGCACAAGGCAGGCAAACCAAACGCAGAUACUCUCUCCAUUUUGCUUACUUAAAUGGCAUCAUUACAGGCCCCUUAAAUGCAGGCCAUCUCCACUAAGAUCAUUACAGGCCCCUCGACGCAGGCCAUCUCCACUAAGAUCUCGCACAGGAAGUCCUUUCUUCCUGCUUCGUUUGGCUCUCUGGACUCUCCUUCCUCUGGCGUGGAAGCUGUCUCCUUACAGAUUCUAAGCGCAGAGACGUUAGGUGUUGGGUUUGACUUUAGGUGGCCAUUACACCAGAACACUGUUGUUACACAAGCUAUAAGACAUCAUUUUCUGGCUAAUUCUGUAGCUCUUUUACCACUUGUGAUUCUUUCAAUAGAAAUGUUUACUCCCCUUCUGGGUAUAAAGGUACAUAAACUAGACAUAUAAGCCAAACGUUUACUGAUUUUAUAAAGACAUUUAUUUUGAAAUAAUUCUUGAGCCAGGUGUGGUGGCUCACUCCUGUAAUCCCAUCACUUGAGAGGCUGAGGCAGGAGGAUCACCAAG
rnacentral:lncRNA from 1 species